rnacentral:rRNA from 1 species
UACAGAGGGUGCGAGCGUUAAUCGGAAUUACUGGGCGUAAAGCGCGCGUAGGCGGCUUCGCAAGUCGGGUGUGAAAUCCCCAAGCUCAACUUGGGAACUGCAUUCGAGACUGCGUUGCUAGAGUAUGGGAGAGGGAAGUGGAAUUUCAGGUGUAGCGGUGAAAUGCGUAGAUAUCUGAAGGAACAUCAGUAGCGAAAGCGACUUCCUGGACCAAUACUGACGCUCAUGUGCGAAAGCGUGGGGAGCAAACAGG